rnacentral:rRNA from 1 species
UCCAGGCUGUAAACAAUGCACGCUAAGUGUUGGGGUGUAGACCUCAGUGCUGUAACCAAACGGGUUAAGCGUGCCGCCUGGGGAGUACAGUCGCAAGACUGAAACUCAAAGGGAUAGGGCGGGGGGAGCACACAAGCGGUGGAGCGCCUCGAUUAAUUGGAUAAUAAGCCAAGAAUCUUACCUGGGCUUGACAUGUAGUCUGUCGUACCCGAAAGGGUACUAGGUAGUCGUAA